CACGGGUUCAAAUUCAUUCAUGUGAUUUACUGGGAAUUCAAGAUACAAGUUCAAAUAUCAUUUCAUCAUCAUUUAACUUUAUCUCACAAAUCCGAGUUCAAGUUUAUAUUGUCCAAGGCAUAUUCAUCCAAAGCACCAUUCAAUUCCAAUUCAAAAUCAAGCUUUUCAUUUCAUCCAUGUUCAUUCGUUAUAACCAUUACUCACUUUACAAGAAUUGUGCCAAAUAAAGGAAAUUACAAAGAAAGUUAUAUGGAAGUCUAUCCUAAUCUUGGUCUUCAUUUUCAACCUUCUCCAAAUUUUCCUUCCAUCUUCAAGCUUUCAUACUCCAACCCUAGUAUCAUGCUAUGA